GCCACACCUGGUACCACACCUCAGAGCCUCCCUCCUCCUCCACUUUUGGGGCUGUUUCAUUUCUCUUCUCUCUGAACUGAGCCUCCUUCUUUUCUUAACUUCUCAGCACCCUCUCUUUCACUUUCUCCCACAUCCCCUCUGUUCUCUCAAGGCUGUGAAGCCCUAUUUAAGGCCAUCCUUCCACUGGCCAAGAGGCAGAAACCUGAACUGGUGAGAAACGAUGAUGAGGUGUGUCAGGAAGAACUCAGACCCCGCAUCCAGCCCUGGUGACCCCGGCCCUCUUGAGCUGAGCAAGCCUACAGCAGCAGUUCACCUUCUCUGGGCCUGGCUUCAUUUCCUUGGGCACAGCCGGGCCUUCUGGGCUGAGGAACACAAAACAGCACGGCAGCACCACGCUUCGGGGCCAUUUCAAACAGCAAAACCACCAACAGAAAGCACACAGAUGGGGAAAUAUGCGGUACUGCACAGACUGCAGAAGGCACCCCUGCUUAUGGGACGAGCUUGAAGCAGGAAGGCAGAGCGUCACCUGGCUCGACCUCCGCUGGGAACGCGCUGCGGGCAACUGCCAUUUUCCACCUCUGCACACGUCUACAAAUCACCGCAAAAGCACCAUGAGUAUUGAUCUGGGUAUAUACAUUAUCUGGGUACAUACAUUAUCUGGGUAAAUACAUUUUAAGGAGGAGGCAAACUCGCACAUAUGGACUCCACAAAGAAGGAGGAUGUGUUGAUCAUUCAUUUGUUGAUAGGGCACAUUUCCCGCCGAGGGCCUUCCGUGUGCCACAUGCCUCUCCGGUGCUUGGGAGACCACAGGCGUCGUCUCAGCCGAUCCUCACCUGCCCUGUGGGUAGAGGCUGUUGUUUUUCAGAGGCAGAGGCAUAGAGGUUUGGUUGCAGGUGGAGGGUCCCACAGCUGGGAAGUGGCCGAGUGGGGAUGAAACCCAGGGAUCCUUCCUCCAGAGUCCAGCUCCACUGCCCAAGCUUCACCUGCAUGCGCUCAUUCUAAAAGCUGUUUUCACACCAAAUCUCCGCAAGCCCUCUUUAUUUCCCACUUCCUGCCAAGUAAGCAGUUCAGCUCACAAACUAUAUUAAUCUCUGGCAUAAAUUCAUUUAAACAAAAUAUUGCCAAGCAACGCAAAAGCAGAAAUCCUCUUACAACCCACAUGGGUAUCGAUGCUGUGCGUGUGGAAGGGCUGAGCCUCUUAGUGUCUGAUUGUAAACACACCCAAAUCUGUGACAAAGACUGGGCAAAGCCAGUGGAGAAGCCAUCAGGACAAACCCCUUAUCCUCGGGGACAGACUGACCUCUCACUGUCCGUCCAAGGCUGGGAGUGUGGGGCGUUGCUCUUCGCCUGCUGAUUUGGCUGAGUCUCCCCAAUCCUCACAGACAGCAGCAGGCAACAGUUAAACACGGCCACCUUUGAGUGGUAACACAAUUUCAUUUUAAAAUUUUUUAUUUUUAACUUUUAAGUUCAGGAGUACAUGUGCAUGUUUGUUACAUAGGUAGACUUGUGCCAUGGGGGUUUGUUGUACAGAUUAUUUCAUCACUUAAGUAUUAAGCCCAGUACCCAUUAGUUACUUUUCCUGAUGCUCUCCCUCUUCCCACCUUCCACCCACCAAGAGGUCCCAGUGUCUGUUGUUCCCCUCUACAGGUCCAUGUGUUCUCAUCAUUUGGCUCCCAUUUAUAAGUGAGAACAUGUACAUGCGGUAUUUGAUUUUCUAUUCCUGCAUUAGUUUGCUGAGUAUAAUGGCUUCCAGCUCCAUCCAUGUCCCUGCAAAGGACAUGAUCUUGUUCUUUUUUAUGGCUUCAUAGUAUUCCAUGGUGUAUAUGUACCACAUUUUCUUUAUCCAGUCUACCAUUGAUGGGCAUUUAGGUUGAUUCCAUGUCUUUGCUAUUGGGUAACACAGCUUUAUGAUCCUGCAUAUUUAAUUUUCCAGAGCCCCAGUUUCCUCAUCUGUAAAAUGGCUCAGGUGAAGUUAUUGUUAUUAAUACUCUGCAUUUAUACUGCACUUAAAACUUUAUAAAGCACUUUCACACCCAG
rnacentral:lncRNA from 1 species